AGGAGGACUGAGCUUCAAGUGUGAGCACUGGCAAUGAAAAUUUUAAAAAGAAAAAAUGGAGCCUUUCUAGCUAAUUACAGAUUUGC